UACGUAGGGGGCAAGCGUUGUCCGGAAUCAUUGGGCGUAAAGCGCACGUAGGCGGAUUGCUAAGUCAGGGGUGAAAUCCUGGAGCUCAACUCCAGAACUGCCCUUGAUACUGGCGGUCUCGAGUCCGGGAGAGGUGAGUGGAACUGCGAGUGUAGAGGUGAAAUUCGUAGAUAUUCGCAAGAACACCAGUGGCGAAGGCGGCUCACUGGCCCGGUACUGACGCUGAGGUGCGAAAGCGUGGGGAGCAACAGGGAUUAAGAUACC
rnacentral:rRNA from 1 species